GUGCUUCAUGCUCUGAGAGACAAAUUGAAGCACCUAAUCAUGGCCAUAGCUGACCACAAGUCACCGUCUGAUAAUAGUAAUAACAACAAGGUCUGGGGAUUUUUCAAGCUGCCGUUUCGAGGAAGCAACCCCAACACGACGCCGUCUUUUUCAUCGUCAACGCAUCUCCACAACCAUAAUAACUCUCAAGUUGAAGGAUCGAAUGCUCAUGCUUCAAAUUCGGUGUCUUCGGUGGCCAGAUCGCUUUUGCCAACGCGGCGUCG
rnacentral:misc_RNA from 1 species